AUGAAAUCUUUAUAUUUCAGGCGCGGCUCACAAUCAAUGAGCUGAAACAACAACAAAUGGGUCUAACCGGUGUUAAUUUCCCGCCUUCUACGUCGCCGGCGUUCUCCACGGCCAGUGUCACCGGCAACGGGCAGCACACAGCCGGCGCGGCGGAGCCGUGGGCGGCGGCGCGCGCGUCGCCGUGGUCGCCGCAGCACACGCCCAACCCCUUCCUGUCCUAGCGCUCGCACGCGGAUGUAUGGUGUGUCCACUAGCGCCCCGCUAACUGCGCCCACGCCGGCCGACGCGUAAAUAACAAUCGCUAUUUAUAUAUUUAUUACAAUCAAUCGCACUACCAAUAAAUUACAAACGAGAGUUUACACAAAUCUCUCACAAGAUGGCGUUGGUCGCAAUUUUUAAACUUGAAACGAAGCGGAAAACUUUGAAUAUAAAUUGGUAUUUUCAAAGCGGAUUAUAUUCAAAUUUACCCGUAUAAAGUCGCAACAAAUUGAAAAAAAAAUUUAGUUGAAAAAUCUAGGAGUUACAUCACACAUACUAUAUGAAUUUGUACGCUAAAUAAACUGUGAAUUUUUUUUCUUCACCCCGGCCAAUUUGCGAGGAGCCAUAAAUUGAAUUUAAAACUACGUAGUCAAUGUUGCCAGCAUUCAAAUAGUUUACACGAUGGAGAAGCAUUGCUGCCAACAUUCAAAUAGAAUUGCCGUGACGUCACACUGACCUUUACAGGUUGAAGGUCGCCGUGUUAUAUAUUGCAUUUAUUGUGACAGAUAUUUUUAGAAAUUAAUAUUGAUUAUGGCUUCUCGUGAAUUGCCUUGAGUUAUUAAAUUGUAUUAAAUAAAAUAUAAUAUGUACAUUGUCUAAAAAAAUUGAUUGAACAAAAAAAAAUUACUAGUA
rnacentral:lncRNA from 1 species